UGACCGCUGGCGGUAGGCCUAACACAUGCAAGUCGCACGGCAGCACAGUAAGAGCUUGCUCUUACGGGUGGCGAGUGGCGGACGGGUGAGGAAUACAUCGGAAUCUACUUUUUCGUGGGGGAUAACGUAGGGAAACUUACGCUAAUACCGCAUACGACCUACGGGUGAAAGCAGGGGAUCUUCGGACCUUGCGCGAUUGAAUGAGCCGAUGUCGGAUUAGCUAGUUGGCGGGGUAAAGGCCCACCAAGGCGACGAUCCGUAGCUGGUCUGAGAGGAUGAUCAGCCACACUGGAACUGAGACACGGUCCAGACUCCUACGGGAGGCAGCAGUGGGGAAUAUUGGACAAUGGGCGCAAGCCUGAUCCAGCCAUACCGCGUGGGUGAAGAAGGCCUUCGGGUUGUAAAGCCCUUUUGUUGGGAAAGAAAAGCAGCAGGUUAAUACCCCGCUGUUCUGACGGUACCCAAAGAAUAAGCACCGGCUAACUUCGUG
rnacentral:rRNA from 1 species